AUGGCGUCUCUCCGGCUCGUGGCAGCACUGGCGCCCUCUCCCCCGCCCCCAUCUCGGCGGGAGCCUCCGCCGCCCGCGGCCCGCCUGGCGAGGGGCGUCGCCCUCGCGGCGGCCGCCGCCACCGUGGCCGCGGCCGCGGCCUCCCCGCCGGCGCUCGCGGCGCUGGCCGAGCCGGCGAACGCGCUGUCGCUGCCCACCUGGGCCGUCCACGUCUCCAGCGUCGCCGAGUGGGUGACGGCGAUGGCGUUGGUCUGGGAUUACGGGGAGCGCACGGGGCUGAAGGGCUGGAAGGGCCUCUCAUGGGGAAUGGUUCCACUUCUCGGUGGAGCGAUGUGCGCGUGCACCUGGCAUUUCUUCUACAAUUCAGAGUCUCUCGAGAUACUUGUGGCGAUUCAAGGUGCUCUAACGGUGAUCGGUAACAUAACAAUGUGCAUAGCCGCGUACCGCAUCUACAAAGGGUCGCAAGAAAGCACUAACAGCGACAGUCCAUAG
rnacentral:rRNA from 1 species